AUUGAACGCUGGCGGCAUGCUUUACACAUGCAAGUCGAACGGCAGCGCGGGCUUCGGCCUGGCGGCGAGUGGCGAACGGGUGAGUAAUGCAUCGGAACGUGCCCAGUAGUGGGGGAUAGCCCGGCGAAAGCCGGAUUAAUACCGCAUACGACCUGAGGGUGAAAGCGGGGGACCGAAAGGCCUCGCGCUAUUGGAGCAGCCGAUGUCGGAUUAGCUAGUUGGUGGGGUAAAGGCUUACCAAGGCGACGAUCCGUAGCUGGUCUGAGAGGACGACCAGCCACACUGGGACUGAGCCACGGCCCAGACUCCUACGGGAGGCAGCAGUGGGGAAUUUUGGACAAUGGGGGCAACCCUGAUCCAGCCAUGCCGCGUGCGGGAAGAAGGCCUUCGGGUUGUAAACCGCUUUUGUUCGGGAAGAAAUCCUCUGGGCUAAUACCCCGGGGGGAUGACGGUACCGGAAGAAUAAGCACCGGCUAACUACGUG
rnacentral:rRNA from 1 species